rnacentral:lncRNA from 1 species
CUCUAGGCUGAGCAAUCCCAGCUCCUUCAACCACUCUUCAUAAGGCCUGUGCUCCAGAGCCCUCACCAGCUUUGUUGCCCUCCUCUGGACGCGCUCCAGGGCCUCGAUGUCUUUCUUACCGUGAGGGGCCCAAAACUGGACAGGUACGGAUGUCACCAUGCCAGCCUGGGUUUGGUGAGGCCUGGAGUAUGAUCAAAAUUUUGGGAACGCAGUGACAGGUGCAGACACCUCUCGGAGUGUGAUUCCCAACCUCCUGUCUUAAUGCAAAUCUCAAGAACACGAGCCAUGUCACCAAACCACUGCUCACAGCUGUUUGCUGAACCUGACACAUUCUACUCCCCAGUCCUGCAGAUCCAUCACUUAUGGAGAAGGACAGAUGCAAGGGUGCGUUUGGGACUGCCUUCAUGCUCCCCGAUGUGCCCCAGAGAGCAAGGCAGGGAAGGCCACAAGACCACGAUGCCAAAGCAGACAGAAGACCUUCAGAAAUCUG